UCACUGUCCUGUACUCACCCUCCCUCUGAGGACAGGUGGUGAUAAGGCCCCUGCAUGGUGACAUGAAGCGACACUAAUGACGCAGGUGCUGUGAAGGAGUGGUAGGCCACCACUGACCUCCUGACCACACAGCAGAAGGAGGAUCAUUUGCUCCUGGCCAAAGCUGACCCCGGAUCAUUUGCUUUGGAGGAAGCCAGCUGUCAGGGUGUGAGGACACUCAAGCAGUUUAUGAAGAGGUCCACGUGGCAAGGAACUGAAGCCUUUUGCCAACAACCAAGGUGGAAGUGAAGGAGCCGUGUGAGGGGGCCAGGAUGGAAGGAGGCCCUCCAGCCGCAGUCAAGCCUUCAGAUGGCUGCAACCCUGGCCAUCAGCCUGACUACAAGUCCAGGAGAGACCCUGAGCCAGAACCCCAGCCAAGCUCCUCCCAGGUCCCUGGCCCUCUGAAAGGUCCCUCCAUGCUGAAGGCCAUCUCCCCUCACCACCCAAGGAAAAGUGACCUCGGGAAUUCUGGCAGAUCCCACACAGACAGGACGAUGGAAAAAGGAGCCGUGGUCAAUGGUGUCAGCACGGAGUUGAAUUGCACACACUCGAUUGGUAUCAGAAAACUGCUUGGUGGCGUUGGAAAAAAACCCACACACAUCAGAACUGGUGUCAGAAUUGGACCAUGUGACUCAGCAAUUCCAUUUCGCAGGCACCUACCCGAAAGAGUUGAAAAUAGGGACUCAACAAAUACUUGCACACGAAUGUUCAUAGCAGAGUAAUUGACAAUAGCCAAAGCGUGGAAAGAACUCAAAUGCCCAUCAGCAGAUGAAUGGAUGGACAAAGAGUGACAGACCCACAUGAUGAAAUACAUGCCACAGUGUGGACGAACCUCAAAAUUUUAUGCUGAGUGAAAGACGCUAGGCCCAAAAGGCCACAUAUGAUCCCACUCAUCUAAAUAACCGGAAGAGAGAAAUUCACAGAAACAGAAAGCAGAUCGGUGGUUGCCAGGAAUAAGAGGGAAAUGGAGAGUUAUUGCUUAGGGGACAUCGAUUUUAUUCUGGGGGGGUUGAAAAUGCUUUGAAACUACCUAGAGGGGAUAGUUACACACUAUUAUGAAAAUAUGAAAUGACACGCAAUUGAACACUUUAAAAUGGUUAAUGUGGGGGGCGCCUGGUUGGUUCAGUGGGUUGAGCAUCUGGCUCUUGGUUUUGGCUCAGGUCAGGGUCUUGUGGUUUGUGACACUGAGCCCCGCCCGUGCUGGGCUCCAUAGCACGGAGCCUGCAGGAUUCUCUCUCUCCCUCUCUCUCAGCCCCUGCCCUGCUCGAACUCACCUACGUACGCGCUCUCUCUCCAAAAUAAACUUGAGAAGAUGAGACAGCCCGGUAUAAAAUCAAACACUACACCAGGGGUUCUCAAAGUGGGGCCCCUGGACCAGCAGCACCAACGUCCCCUGGGAACUUGUUGUGGGUGGAGAGCCUCUCCGGACACCAGCCCCCUGUGUGUUCCCAGUGCAGCAGAGAUGCCUGCCCGCCCAGGAAAGGGCCCUGGGACAGCUGUAACCCUACCCACCCCUGUAUAAAAGCCCCUGGUCACCCCUUACCCUU